AUGGCUCGUGCUGUUGUUCCGUUAAAUUUUAAUGCGUUCCUUGAGAAAGCAAAGUUGAAAGAUGAUGGUAGCAAUUACACGGACUGGGUCCGUAACCUGAGGAUUAUCCUCAUUGCUGCACAGAAAAGUUACGUCCUGGAAGCACCGCUGGGUGCCAGGCCUGCUGCUGAUGCAACUGACGACGUUAAGAACGUCUGGCAGAGCAAAGCUGAUGACUACUCGAUAGUUCAGUGUGCCAUGCUUUACGGCUUAGAACCGGGUCUUCAACGAUGUUUUGAACGUCAUGGAGCAUAUGAGAUGUUUCAGGAGUUGAAGUUAAUAUUUCAAGCAAAUGCCCAGAUUGAGAGAUAUGAAGUCUCCAAUAAGUUCUAUAGCUGCAAGAUGGAGGAGAAUAGUUCUGUCAGUGAACACAUACUCAAAAUGUCUGGGUAUAAUAAUCACUUGAUUCAACUGGGAGUUAAUCUUCCUGAUGAUAGUGUCAUUGACAGAAUUCUCCAAUCACUGCCACCAAGCUACAAGAGCUUCGUGAUGAACUAUAAUAUGCAAGGGAUGAACAAAACUAUUCCCGAGCUCUUCGCAAUGCUAAAAGCUGCGGAGGUAGAAAUCAAAAAGGAGCAUCAAGUGUUGAUGGUUAACAAGACCACCAGUUUUAAGAAAAAGGGCAAAGGGAAGAAGAAGGGGAACUUUAAAAAGAACAGCAAGCAAGUUGCUGCUCAAGAGAAGAAACCCAAGUCUGGACCUAAGCCUGGAACUGAGUACUUCUACUGCAAGCAGACUGGACACUGGAAGCGGAACUGCCCCAAGUAUUUGGCGAAUAAGAAGGAUGGCAAAGUGAACAAAGGUAUAUGUGAUAUACAUGUUAUUGAUGUGUACCUUACUAAUGCUCGCAGUAGCACCUGGGUAUUUGAUACUGGUUCUGUUGCUAAUAUUUGCAACUCGAAACAGGGACUACGAAUUAAGCGAAGAUUGGCUAAGGACGAGGUGACGAUGCGCGUGGGAAAUGGUUCCAAAGUCGAUGUGAUCGCGGUCGGCACGGUACCUCUACAUCUACCAUCGGGAUUAGUUUUAGACCUAAAUAAUUGUUAUUUGGUACCAGCGUUGAGCAUGAACAUUAUAUCUAGAUCUUGUUUGAUGCGAGAUGGUUAUUCAUUUAAAUUAGAGAAUAAUGGUUGUUCUAUUUAUAUGUGUAAUAUCUUUUAUGGUCAUGCACCCUUGAAGAGUGGUCUAUUUUUAUUAAAUCUCGAUAGUAGUGAUACA
rnacentral:rRNA from 1 species